UUAACUGUGUUGAUACAGAACAGGGCUGCCAACUUUUCAAAAACCCUUGGAGUGAGAUUUGGUGGGUGUGACCAAAAUUCUGCCGCACACACAGCCACACAAGACAGUGGCUUGGACAUAAGGGAGCACUGGAAUUAGUUUGAUUGGUUGCAUGUUUCCCCCUACAUGUUUCUGAUAGUGGUGCUCGUUGAAG